rnacentral:rRNA from 1 species
ACCUACGGGGCGCAGCAGUAGGGAAUUUUCGUCAAUGGGCGCAAGCCUGAACGAGCAAUGCCGCGUGAACGAGGAAGGUCUUCGGAUCGUAAAGUUCUGUUGAAGGGGAAAAAGAGCGGAGAGAGGAAAUGGUCUCCGAUUGAUAUUACCCUUCGAGGAAGUCACGGCUAACUACGUGCCAGCAGCCGCGGUAAUACGUAGGUGGCGAGCGUUAUCCGGAAUGAUUGGGCGCAAAGGGUGCGUAGGCGGCCUGCUAAGUCUGUAGUGAAAGGGACCGGCUCAACCGGUACAGGCUCUGAAAACUG